AGUGUUAAAAAAAGCAGUACUGGACGGCCUACAGUCACUCCCAUUACAUCUGAUGAUGAUGACGCUGCGGAAGCAGGUCCAUCCCAAGAAGUUUUGACCAGCAGAAGGAGGACUCCUGUAGCACACCAAACAAAAACACAUGUGGCAACAAAGAAAGCAAGGUCUGAUGUCCAAUCACAACCACAGCAGUCUACUCUGCCACGAAGAUUGUCUACAGUUUCUUUGGUCCCACCACUCCAAAUUUUGGUCACACCUCCAAGACGCCAACCACACUCCCCUCAUCUUGAUUAUUCUAGUACUGGUACCAGCAUCCAGACGCAACAGCAGCAACACAGUGACAUGAAUGAGACAAUAAUGUUACAAAUGCAGCCAUUAAUCCAAGGAAUCAGCCACCCAGCACCUGUGAGUACACCACCACAGCAUAGCACUCCACCACCACAACACAGCCCAACAACACCAGUAGCACAAGGCCCUGAUCAAGUGUUUUGGGACAGUUGGGCUGCACAGCAGGCCACUAAUCAAGAUUGCCUGCGUAGGCAAACCCAAAUUUUUGCAAACCUACCAGCUCACCUCAGAAGAAUCAGCAGAAAUAUCAGUCGCCAAAAUGAACCAACCACCAGAAUUACCAAUACCAUGGAAAUCAUGCGGCAGACAUUACACAUGUCAUGGGCAACUUACAACGCAUAAUGGAAGAACAGCACAGACCACAGCAAAGCUACAUCAACAUCUUAGAAAACAAUCAAAUGAUCAAUGAAUCUAUCACCAGAAUUUUAGAGAAUCAAAAUGCUGCAACACGUGAACUUAAUGCCACCCUCACUAACCUCAAUGAAACACUCAGAUUCCAGCACCAUCAGCAACCAAGCAGCAGUUCUGGUAUGACUACUCCUAUUCAAUCGCCAGUGUCCUCACCACCAAGGUGCUCCACCAGAGCACCCCAACACGACAGUGGUAAAGGCAAAGGCCAGUCCAAGCAGCCAACCCAAAAAAAAAAAAAAAAUAGAUACACAGAUCUCUGUAUAGAGAAGUAAAUAAACACAUUUAGUAAGUGUAGGUUUGUCACAAUAUCUAGUACACUUACCACCUUGUCAAUUUCUUGAACAUCAUUAAUUAUAAGUGUUACAAACAACAACAGGAUUUUGGACAACACAUAUAUUCUUUCACAUCUUUGAAUUUUUUAGGAGGACAAAGUUAUUUGAUCUGCACAUUGAUGUUAGAAUGCAGUAACAAGACCACUUGAUUUUUUUCUAAUCAUUAAUCUUUCUAGAUUCCAAUCAUUCUUAUAUCCUGCAGGCAGACUAAUUGGCAGCCAUGCAGAAUGUCUUUAGCAUGCAGUAACAAGACCACUUGAUUUUUUUCUAAUCAUUACUCUUUCCAGAUUCCAAUCAUUCUCAUAUCCUGCAGGUAGACUAAUUGGCAGCCGUGCAGAUUCAUCCAUGACCAAUACAAAUUACAAUGUGAUUGUUAACUCUUUUACCUUUCUUCUCUAUACAACAUUACAAGAUUGACACAAUUGAGUUGGCUAAAAAGGUCCUAAUAUGUUGUGAUCGAAUUUAGAUAAUUCAGUGCCAAAAUGAAUGUCAUUAUUGUUGGGCCAUGCUUGUGUGUGUUAAAAAUGAGUAAUCCGUUUCUUACACAUGAUGCAGAAACAAAGAAAUUGUAAUUUUUUUAAUAAGCACAAAUAAUGUGUAUAAUAAUGGAUAUAUGUGGCAAACUGUAUUGACUUACAAAUCAGCAAGUUUACUGCAGCAAACAUU